rnacentral:rRNA from 1 species
CCUACGGGUGGCAGCAGUGAGGAAUAUUGGUCAAUGGGAGAGAUCCUGAACCAGCCAAGCCGCGUGAGGGAAGACGGCCCUAUGGGUUGUAAAUCUCUUUUGUCGGAGAACAAAACCCGGGACGUGUCCCGGACUGCGUGUAUCCGAAGAAAAAGCAUCGGCUAACUCCGUGCCAGCAGCCGCGGUAAUACGGAGGAUGCGAGCGUUAUCCGGAUUUAUUGGGUUUAAAGGGUGCGUAGGCGGUCCGUUAAGUCAGCGGUAAAAUUGCGGGGCUCAACCCCGUCGAGCCGUUGAAACUGGAAGACUUGAGUGUGUUUGAGGUAGGCGGAAUGCGUGGUGUAGCGGUGAAAUGCAUAGAUAUCACGCAGAACUCCGAUUGCGAAGGCAGCUUACUAAGCCAUAACUGACACUGAAGCACGAAAGCGUGGGGAUCAAACAGGAUUAGAUACCCCAGUAGUC